UUUAAAAGCUGCUGCUGCAGUGCUGCUGCUCUGAGCUUCAAGAUGACUCGCUGUCACCCUCUGAUUUUCACUUUAUGGACACUUUUCCUCUCUGGAUUCACUCAAGCUCAUCCUCAAGUGAUCCAUGUGAGGCCUGUUGAGAAUCCCACCUACGCUGAGGAAUACCAGUGUGUAACAGAAUGCAACCCUGAACACACAAAGUACAGCUGGAGCAGGCAGGGCUGGGAUACUUUUCCUGAAGAUGUGAAAGCAGAAGGAGACCGACUACACUUCCUGAAGUUGACCUCUGACCUCAAUGGUCUCUACGUCUGUGAGGUAGAAAACCAGUUUGGAGCUGCAGCAGGUUCACUAUAUCGAUAUAAGAGACACACAAACGAACUUUAAUGAAGGAUAUGAUGAACAACAAGACACCCAGGAAGGAAAACAGAGCUUCUUUUACAGUCGCUCACGAGUUUGGGCACCAGGAGCCACCCAAACACAGCUACAGUGAGGAAAGACUGUCUGGGAAAAAAUAUGUGAAACCAAAAAGGAGAAGCUGCCCUGACCAUGUUGGUAUUUCUCAGGUGAUCUUGACAUCAGGACACGUGGUGUGACAAAUGCAUUCCUGUGAAGCUGUACUGAAGUGGACUGUAAUGGUCUUUAUACUGGUGAAUGCUGUGCUUGCAGUUUGAUUCUUGUUGAUUGUGUGAACUCUCUUUGUGUGAGAUGUUGUGAAAUGGUUCAUGUUAUAGAGACGCUUACAGACUCAGAUUUUACAGUGGUGGUGAAAGGAACCAGGAGCCCUGAUGUCUACAGUACAAAUAUAGCCGUUUUUUUACUAUCCAACCCACCAGUGAACCUACACUGGUCCUCUGAGGUUUUGUGUGUGAUGUUGUAGGUGGUGAAACAGUGAUAAAUCUGAAAAAAAAAAAAAAAUUAAUUGCUUUGUCUUACAACGCCCCCUACCGUAAAUGAAUAAAAAUACAUCUUUAGGUCAAAAAGCUCAAAUCUAUCGUAAAACAAUGUCUCAUACAUCAGGCAACAUAUUCGUAUUCAUAUUUCAUGUAAGCUUUCUGUGAGGGAGCUUUAGACGUAUUAAACU